UACGGGGGGGGCAAGCGUUGUUCGGAAUUACUGGGCGUAAAGGGCUCGUAGGUGGCCAACUAAGUCAGACGUGAAAUCCCUCGGCUUAACCGGGGAACUGCGUCUGAUACUGGAUGGCUUGAGUUCGGGAGAGGGAUGCGGAAUUCCAGGUGUAGCGGUGAAAUGCGUAGAUAUCGGGAGGAACACCCGUGGCGAAGGCGGCCAGCUGGGCCGUCCCUGACGCUGAGGCGCGAAGGCGUGGGGAGCGAACGGG
rnacentral:rRNA from 1 species